CGAUGUCAACUAGUUGUUCGUGUCUUUGAGACGUGAGUAACGCAGCUAACGCACUAAGUUGACCGCCUGGGGAGUACGGCCGCAAGGUUAAAACUCAAAUGAAUUGACGGGGGCCCGCACAAGCGGUGGAGCAUGUGGUUUAAUUCGAUGCAACGCGAAGAACCUUACCAUCCCUUGACAUCCAGAGAAUUUUCUAGAGAUAGAUUAGUGCCUUCGGGAACUCUGAGACAGGUGCUGCAUGGCUGUCGUCAGCUCGUGUUGUGAGAUGUUGGGUUAAGUCCCGCAACGAGCGCAACCCUUAUCCUUAGUUGCCAGCACUAAGGUGGGAACUCUAGGGAGACUGCCGGUGAUAAACCGGAGGAAGGUGGGGACGACGUCAAGUCAUCAUGGCCCUUACGGGAUGGGCUACACACGUGCUACAAUGGCGCACACAAAGGGCAGCAAGCGCGCGAGUGCAAGCGAAUCUCAAAAAGUGCGUCGUAGUCCGGAUUGGAGUCUGCAACUCGACUCCAUGAAGUCGGAAUCGCUAGUAAUCGUGGAUCAGAAUGCCACGGUGAAUACGUUCCCGGGCCUUGUACACACCGCCCGUCACACCAUGGGAGUGGGCUGCACCAGAAGUAGAUAGCUUAACCUUCGGGAGGGCGUUUACCACGGUGUGGUUCAUGACUGGGGUG
rnacentral:rRNA from 1 species